rnacentral:rRNA from 1 species
UGGGUGGUCCCGGAUUUUUAACUCCCAACCCCUGUGACAUACCUUACUGUUGCCUCGGCGGAUCAGCCCGCUCCCGGUAAAACGGGACGGCCCGCCAGAGGACCCCUAAACUCUGUUUCUAUAUGUAACUUCUGAGUAAAACCAUAAAUAAAUCAAAACUUUCAACAACGGAUCUCUUGGUUCUGGCAUCGAUGAAGAACGCAGCAAAAUGCGAUAAGUAAUGUGAAUUGCAGAAUUCAGUGAAUCAUCGAAUCUUUGAACGCACAUUGCGCCCGCCAGUAUUCUGGCGGGCAUGCCUGUUCGAGCGUCAUUUCAACCCUCAAGCCCUCGGGUUUGGUGUUGGGGAUCGGCGAGCCUUUCUGGCAAGCCGGCCCCGAAAUCUAGUGGCGGUCUCGCUGCAGCCUCCAUUGCGUAGUAGUAAAACCCUCGCAACUGGAACGCGGCGCGGCCAAGCCGUUAAACCCCCAACUUCUGAAUGUUGACCUCGGAUCAGGUAGGAAUACCCGCUGAACUUAAGCAUAGGGGAUAAGCGGAGAAAU